rnacentral:rRNA from 1 species
UACGUAGGGUGCGAGCGUUGUCCGGAAUUACUGGGCGUAAAGAGCUCGUAGGUGGUUUGUCGCGUUGUUCGUGAAAACUCACAGCUUAACUGUGGGCGUGCGGGCGAUACGGGCAGACUGGAGUACUGCAGGGGAGACUGGAAUUCCUGGUGUAGCGGUGGAAUGCGCAGAUAUCAGGAGGAACACCGGUGGCGAAGGCGGGUCUCUGGUCAGUAACUGACGCUGAGGAGCGAAAGCGUGGGGAGCGAACCGG